UACGAAGGGAGCUAGCGUUGUUCGGAAUUACUGGGCGUAAAGGGCGCGUAGGCGGUCCUAUAAGUUUGAUGUGAAAGCCCUGGGCUUAACCUAGGAAUUGCAUUGAAUACUGUAGGACUAGAGUUUGAGAGGGGAGAAUGGAAUUGCGAGUGUAGAGGUGAAAUUCGUAGAUAUUCGCAAGAACACCGGUGGCGAAGGCGGUUCUCUGGCUCGAUACUGACGCUAAGGCGCGAAAGCGUGGGGAGCAAACAGG
rnacentral:rRNA from 1 species